rnacentral:rRNA from 1 species
CCUACGGGAGGCAGCAGUAGGGAAUCUUCCACAAUGGGCGAAAGCCUGAUGGAGCAACGCCGCGUGGGUGAAGAAGGUCUUUGGAUCGUAAAACCCUGUUGUUAGAGAAGAAAGUGCGUGAGAGUAACUGUUCACGUUUCGACGGUAUCUAACCAGAAAGCCACGGCUAACUACGUGCCAGCAGCCGCGGUAAUACGUAGGUGGCAAGCGUUAUCCGGAUUGAUUGGGCGUAAAGGGAACGCAGGCGGUCUUUUAAGUCUGAUGUGAAAGCCUUCGGCUUAACCGGAGUAGUGCAUUGGAAACUGGGAGACUUGAGUGCAGAAGAGGAGAGUGGAACUCCAUGUGUAGCGGUGAAAUGCGUAGAUAUAUGGAAGAACACCAGUGGCGAAAGCGGCUCUCUGGUCUGUAACUGACGCUGAGGUCCGAAAGCGUGGGUAGCAAACAGGAUUAGAUACCCCUGUAGUC